rnacentral:pre_miRNA from 2 species
UUUAUACCCUCUUCGUCCGGAAUUGUCAUAAGAAUGAAUGUAUCUAGAUGUAUUUUAGUUGUAGAUACAUCUAUUUUUAUUCGUUUUUGCGACAAGUAAUUUCGGAUGGAGGAAGUAUUAU